rnacentral:rRNA from 1 species
GAUGAACGCUGGCGGCGUGCCUAAUACAUGCAAGUCGAGCGAACAGACGAGGAGCUUGCUCCUCUGACGUUAGCGGCGGACGGGUGAGUAACACGUGGAUAACCUACCUAUAAGACUGGGAUAACUUCGGGAAACCGGAGCGAAUACCGGAUAAUAUAUUGAACCGCAUGGUUCAAUAGUGAAAGACGGUUUUGCUGUCACUUAUAGAUGGAUCCGCGCCGCAUUAGCUAGUUGGUAAGGUAACGGCUUACCAAGGCAACGAUGCGUAGCCGACCUGCGAGGGUGAUCGGCCACACUGGAACUGAGACACGGUCCAGACUACUGCGGGAGGCAGCAGUAGGGAAUCUUCCGCAUUGGGCGAAAGCUUGACGGAGCAACGCCGCGUGAGUGAUGAAGGUCUUCGGAUCGUAAAACUCUGUUAUUAGGGAAGAACAAAUGUGUAAGUAACUAUGCACGUCUUGACGGUACCUACUCAGAAAGCCACGGCUAACUACGUG